rnacentral:rRNA from 1 species
AGCAGUCGCCGCGGUAAUACGUAGGUGGCAAGCGUUGUCCGGAAUUAUUGGGCGUAAAGGGCUCGCAGGCGGUUUCUUAAGUCUGAUGUGAAAGCCCCCGGCUCAACCGGGGAGGGUCAUUGGAAACUGGGAAACUUGAGUGCAGAAGAGGAGAGUGGAAUUCCACGUGUAGCGGUGAAAUGCGUAGAGAUGUGGAGGAACACCAGUGGCGAAGGCGACUCUCUGGUCUGUAACUGACGCUGAGGAGCGAAAGCGUAGGGAGCGAACAGGAUUAGAUACCCCCGUAGUCCCUGUCUCUUAUAC